AUACGGAGGGGGCUAGCGUUGUUCGGAAUUACUGGGCGUAAAGCGCGCGUAGGCGGACCAGUCAGUCAGGGGUGAAAUCCCGGGGCUCAACCCCGGAACUGCCUUUGAUACUGCUGGUCUUGAGUUCGAGAGAGGUGAGUGGAAUUCCGAGUGUAGAGGUGAAAUUCGUAGAUAUUCGGAGGAACACCAGUGGCGAAGGCGGCUCACUGGCUCGAUACUGACGCUGAGGUGCGAAAGCGUGGGGAGCAAACAGGAUUAGAUACCCCAGUAGUCC
rnacentral:rRNA from 1 species